rnacentral:ncRNA from 1 species
AGGAGCCGUUUGAGGUGAAAAUCUCAUGUACGGUUCUUUAGAGGUAUCGUUGUUUUGUUUCGCUAUCUAAA